AAGCCCUGGCAUGCUUCUCUCCUACCCCGUGCUGCAGCGGAGUUUGGAGCUGGGAACAUUCUGCACAGCCAACACAGCAUGGAACUCUUGAGACGUGGAGGCGGAGGAUGGGAAACCUCAUGGGAGGCCCCAUGCUGAUCAUGAUGAUGACUACUGUGUCCACUGGAAACAGAGCCAAAGAAAACUGGGCAGAUGAAGUCUUCCACUGGAGCAAAAGUCAUCAGUUACACUGAAAUCAUUCAAAGCAGAGCAUGAAAAGUGCACACACUAUCAAAAGUACAUAGCGAAGAUGGCAAGAGUGCAGAAAGUAGAAGCUAAGACGCAGAUCUAUUGAUAAACCCAAGAGAACAAACAAAGCAAGGUCAGUUCGGGUGCCUGAGAACAGAUUGCAGCAUAGUCUGGAAGGUGGGAAAAACCCAAGGUUUUACUUACAGCCUUUUUGUAUAUAAAUAGGAGGAGAGUAUUGCCACAAAAAUAGAAAAGCCAAGCAACUGGACAGAAACGUAACACUAAGUCCUGGGAUAGCAGCAAAGAAGUGACUGAACUUAUCUACUUCAAUGUGAUUGGAAUCCAAUCGUAAAUAAAAUACAAGAUUAAUUUUCAAAA